rnacentral:rRNA from 1 species
UACGUAGGGUGCGAGCGUUAGUCGGAAUUACUGGGCGUAAAGCGUGCGCAGGCGGCCGAGCAAGUCGAGUGUGAAAGCCCCGAGCUUAACUUGGGAACUGCGCUCGAAACUACUUGGCUAGAGUGUGGCAGAGGGAGGUGGAAUUCCACGUGUAGCGGUGAAAUGCGUAGAGAUGUGGAGGAACACCGAUGGCGAAGGCAGCCUCCUGGGCCAACACUGACGCUCAUGCACGAAAGCGUGGGGAGCAAACAGG